rnacentral:rRNA from 1 species
GCAUAUCAAUAAGCGGAGGAAAAGAAACCAACAGGGAUUGCCCCAGUAACGGCGAGUGAAGCGGCAACAGCUCAAAUUUGAAAUCUGGUCCCUAGGGCCCGAGUUGUAAUUUGUAGAGGAUGCUUUUGGUGAGGUGCCGCCCGAGUUCCCUGGAACGGGACGCCACAGAGGGUGAGAGCCCCGUCUGGCUGGCCGCCGAGCCUCUGUAAAGCUCCUUCGACGAGUCGAGUAGUUUGGGAAUGCUGCUCAAAAUGGGAGGUAUAUGUCUUCUAAAGCUAAAUAUUGGCCAGAGACCGAUAGCGCACAAGUAGAGUGAUCGAAAGAUGAAAAGCACCUUGAAAAGAGGGUUAAAUAGUACGUGAAAUUGUUGAAAGGGAAGCGCUUGUGACCAGACUUGGGCGCGGCGGAUCAUCCGGGGUUCUCUCCGGUGCACUUCGCCGCGUCUAGGCCAGCAUCAGUUCGUCGCGGGGGAAAAAGGCUUCGGGAACGUGGCUCCUCCGGGAGUGUUAUAGCCCGUUGCAUAAUACCCUGCGGUGGACUGAGGACCGCGCAUCUGCAAGGAUGCUGGCGUAAUGGUCACCAGCGACCCGU